GGGUUGUGAGGUUAAGCGACUAAGCGUACACGGUGGAUGCCCUGGCAGUCAGAGGCGAUGAAGGGCGUGCUAAUCUGCGAUAAGCGCCGGUAAGGUGAUAUGAACCGUUAUAACCGGCGAUACCCGAAUGGGGAAACCCAGUGUGACUCGUCACACUAUCAUUAACUGAAUCCAUAGGUUAAUGAGGCGAACCGGGGGAACUGAAACAUCUAAGUACCCCGAGGAAAAGAAAUCAACCGAGAUUCCCCCAGUAGCGGCGAGCGAACGGGGAGGAGCCCAGAGCCUGAAUCAGCAUGUGUGUUAGUGGAAGCGUCUGGAAAGGCGCGCGAUACAGGGUGACAGCCCCGUACACAAAAGCGCAUGUGCUGUGAGCUCGAUGAGUAGGGCGGGACACGUGGUAUCCUGUCUGAAUAUGGGGGGACCAUCCUCCAAGGCUAAAUACUCCUGACUGACCGAUAGUGAACCAGUACCGUGAGGGAAAGGCGAAAAGAACCCCGGCGAGGGGAGUGAAAAAGAACCUGAAACCGUGUACGUACAAGCAGUGGGAGCACCCUUUGGGUGUGACUGCGUACCUUUUGUAUAAUGGGUCAGCGACUUAUAUUCUGUAGCAAGGUUAACCGAAUAGGGGAGCCGGAGGGAAACCGAGUCUUAAUUGGGCGUUAAGUUGCAGGGUAUAGACCCGAAACCCGGUGAUCUAGCCAUGGGCAGGUUGAAGGUUGGGUAACACUAACUGGAGGACCGAACCGACUAAUGUUGAAAAAUUAGCGGAUGACCUGUGGCUGGGGGUGAAAGGCCAAUCAAACCGGGAGAUAGCUGGUUCUCCCCGAAAGCUAUUUAGGUAGCGCCUCGUGAAUUCAUCUCCGGGGGUAGAGCACUGUUUCGGCUAGGGGGCCAUCCCGGCUUACCAACCCGAUGCAAACUGCGAAUACCGGAGAAUGUUAUCACGGGAGACACACGGCGGGUGCUAACGUCCGUCGUGAAGAGGGAAACAACCCAGACCGCCAGCUAAGGUCCCAAAGUCAUGGUUAAGUGGGAAACGAUGUGGGAAGGCCCAGACAGCCAGGAUGUUGGCUUAGAAGCAGCCAUCAUUUAAAGAAAGCGUAAUAGCUCACUGGUCGAGUCGGCCUGCGCGGAAGAUGUAACGGGGCUAAACCAUGCACCGAAGCUGCGGCAGCGACGCUUAUGCGUUGUUGGGUAGGGGAGCGUUCUGUAAGCCUGCGAAGGUGGCCUGUGAGGGUUGCUGGAGGUAUCAGAAGUGCGAAUGCUGACAUAAGUAACGAUAAAGCGGGUGAAAAGCCCGCUCGCCGGAAGACCAAGGGUUCCUGUCCAACGUUAAUCGGGGCAGGGUGAGUCGACCCCUAAGGCGAGGCCGAAAGGCGUAGUCGAUGGGAAACGGGUUAAUAUUCCCGUACUUGGUGUUACUGCGAAGGGGGGACGGAGAAGGCUAUGUUGGCCGGGCGACGGUUGUCCCGGUUUAAGCGUGUAGGUGUGUGUUCCAGGUAAAUCCGGUUCACUUUAACACUGAGGCGUGAUGACGAGGCACUACGGUGCUGAAGUAACAAAUGCCCUGCUUCCAGGAAAAGCCUCUAAGCAUCAGGUAACAUCAAAUCGUACCCCAAACCGACACAGGUGGUCAGGUAGAGAAUACCAAGGCGCUUGAGAGAACUCGGGUGAAGGAACUAGGCAAAAUGGUGCCGUAACUUCGGGAGAAGGCACGCUGACACGUAGGUGAAGUGAUUUACUCACGGAGCUGAAGUCAGUCGAAGAUACCAGCUGGCUGCAACUGUUUAUUAAAAACACAGCACUGUGCAAACACGAAAGUGGACGUAUACGGUGUGACGCCUGCCCGGUGCCGGAAGGUUAAUUGAUGGGGUCAGCGCAAGCGAAGCUCCUGAUCGAAGCCCCGGUAAACGGCGGCCGUAACUAUAACGGUCCUAAGGUAGCGAAAUUCCUUGUCGGGUAAGUUCCGACCUGCACGAAUGGCGUAAUGAUGGCCAGGCUGUCUCCACCCGAGACUCAGUGAAAUUGAACUCGCUGUGAAGAUGCAGUGUACCCGCGGCAAGACGGAAAGACCCCGUGAACCUUUACUAUAGCUUGACACUGAACAUUGAGCCUUGAUGUGUAGGAUAGGUGGGAGGCUUUGAAGUGUGGACGCCAGUCUGCAUGGAGCCGACCUUGAAAUACCACCCUUUAAUGUUUGAUGUUCUAACGUGGACCCGUUACCCGGGUUGCGGACAGUGUCUGGUGGGUAGUUUGACUGGGGCGGUCUCCUCCUAAAGAGUAACGGAGGAGCACGAAGGUUGGCUAAUCCUGGUCGGACAUCAGGAGGUUAGUGCAAUGGCAUAAGCCAGCUUGACUGCGAGCGUGACGGCGCGAGCAGGUGCGAAAGCAGGUCAUAGUGAUCCGGUGGUUCUGAAUGGAAGGGCCAUCGCUCAACGGAUAAAAGGUACUCCGGGGAUAACAGGCUGAUACCGCCCAAGAGUUCAUAUCGACGGCGGUGUUUGGCACCUCGAUGUCGGCUCAUCACAUCCUGGGGCUGAAGUAGGUCCCAAGGGUAUGGCUGUUCGCCAUUUAAAGUGGUACGCGAGCUGGGUUUAGAACGUCGUGAGACAGUUCGGUCCCUAUCUGCCGUGGGCGCUGGAGAACUGAGGGGGGCUGCUCCUAGUACGAGAGGACCGGAGUGGACGCAUCACUGGUGUUCGGGUUGUCAUGCCAAUGGCACUGCCCGGUAGCUAAAUGCGGAAGAGAUAAGUGCUGAAAGCAUCUAAGCACGAAACUUGCCCCGAG
rnacentral:rRNA from 1 species